AGAACAACAUUCGGACCGUCGGUCUACCAAGCAAUAUCACCCGCUCGGUGGAAGAUCUUCCCUUUGUCCUUUAAG
rnacentral:pre_miRNA from 1 species